AGUGAACGCUGGCGGUAGGCCUAACACAUGCAAGUCGAACGGCAGCACAGUAAGAGCUUGCUCUUACGGGUGGCGAGUGGCGGACGGGUGAGGAAUACAUCGGAAUCUACUUUUUCGUGGGGGAUAAGGUAGGGAAACUUCGGCUAAUACGGAUACCAACUUAGGGGUGAAGGAAGGGGAUCUUGGAUCUUUGCGGGUUGGAAUGGCCCGAUGUCGGAUUAGCUGGUUGGCGGGGUAAAGGCCCACCAAGGCGACGAUCCGUAGCUGGUCUGAGAGGAUGAUCAGCCACACUGGAACUGAGACACGGUCCAGACUCCUACGGGAGGCAGCAGUGGGGAAUAUUGGACAAUGGGCGCAAGCCUGAUCCAGCCAUACCGCGUGGGUGAAGAAGGCCUUCGGGUUGUAAAGCCCUUUUGUUGGGAAAGAAAAGCAGCAGGUUAAUACCCCGCUGUUCUGACGGUACCCAAAGAAUAAGCACCGGCUAACUUCGUG
rnacentral:rRNA from 1 species